CUAAUAAGGGUUGUGUGCAUGAGUAGCUCAUAACAAGCUAUAAGUACUACCAUGAUAGGGGAAAAAAGGCAAAUACGAAGUAAUUAGGGUUUGAACUAGAAGUGUGAUCUAUGGUGUAUAAAGGAAGAAGUAGAUUCUAGAAUUUGUUUCCUCUGUUUACAAGAACAAUCCAUUUGGAUUGUUUACAAGAUGGAACAAUCUUGUUUUGAAUUAUUUACAAGAACGAUCCAUUUCUUGCCCAGACAUGCCAAGUUAGCCUGGAUGUAUUGCGAGCUUAGUCAUGUGAAAGUUUAAAUAUCAACAUAUUACUGCUAGCAAGAAUGUGCAGAAUGUAAGUCACAAUUCAAGACCUGGGCACAGUGAUAAGACUGCUAUCUCAUUUGAGUAACAGCUCCUCAUAUCAGGUGUAAGUAACAUCAUCUUCUGAGAUUCUCAUUCUUAUGUCUAGCCUUUAUUUUAGCUCAUAGAUGUGUCAUUGGAAUUUUUCCAUUUAACAGCCAAGCCCUGUGACAGGAUAAUAAGUGGACAGUCCAAUAAUGUGAUUAUAGAGAAGAGCAUGUUUUCAUCCAGGAGAGAUGGAAAUUGUUCAUACAAAAGAAAAAGAAAAGUGAAAGGAACAUUAAGAGAAAUAAAACUUUAAGGGUGAGAAUUUGGUGUUUACAAAUAUGCUUUCCUUCAGUGCUAGUUUUUGCAAGUAAGUGCUUUAUUUUGUGGUCUUGGUAAAUCAUGGCUGCUUAACUAUGAGUUUAAAGCUGUUAAAUUACCAACAAUCCAUCCCCUAAAACAUAUGCAUGAAAAGAUGUAAAAUAAAAUAAAGCAAUAAAGAAAAUUUCCUGUUUAAAAUUUAAUGCUGAUAUGAUUAAAAACAUAUAUCAACAGCUUAAAGGCAAUCAGACUUCAUAAUCUAGGAGUAAGCUUGUUAUAAUAAAAACAAGCCUCAUUGUCACUUCUGCAUGCCAGAUUAAUUUAUUAUCAUUUCCAAAAAGCUGAAAAUGGUGAGAGUGAUUCCUUUGUUUGAAUUGAGAACUACAUCUGGGUCAGAGUUAA
rnacentral:lncRNA from 1 species